CGUCACGUCACGUGCGUGACGGUGUUUACAGCAGCCGGCGGCGGUUGCUUGGCAACCGGGUAGGGCCCGAUCGGGGCUCCAGUCGCGGCUGAGGCUGCGGCCUCUUUGUUCCGGGCCCUUCUCGUCCCUCGUCCGGGGCUCUCCUCAUCCUCGGAGGAGAUGAGGGGCCGGCCGCAGAGGUAGAAAAGAGUAGUAAAAACGUGAGCAAGAAACGUGCAGUGUACCACAGGGUGGUUUAGGUAUUUGCAAUUGUAGAAUAAAUGGUGAAGCAAGAACCCCUUCCAAAGCAGGCCUUGAGUAUUUUGGACUUGAGUUGCAGCUGAAGUGGAAACUUUUGGAAACCUUGCCAUUAAUGUCAAUGGGAACGAGGUGGGUUGUAUUUAUGGAAUAAAGACAUGAUGUCGGCUGGUAGUGGUGCGAUGUAUGUGAAUAAAAA
rnacentral:lncRNA from 1 species